UACGAGGGGUGCAAGCGUUGUUCGGAAUUAUUGGGCGUAAAGGGCAGGUAGGUGGUCUUGUAAGUCUACUGUGAAAUCCCCGGGCUUAACCCGGGGAAGUGCGGUGGAUACUGCAAGACUAGAGUGCUGGAGGGGUUCGUGGAAUACCCGGUGUAGCGGUGAAAUGCGUAGAUAUCGGGUGGAACACCAGAGGCGAAGGCGGCGAACUUGACAGUAACUGACACUCAACUGCGAAAAGCGUGGGGAGCAAACAGG
rnacentral:rRNA from 1 species